UACGGAGGAUCCAAGCGUUAUCCGGAUUUAUUGGGUUUAAAGGGUGCGUAGGCGGCCUGUUAAGUCAGGGGUGAAAGACGGUAGCUCAACUAUCGCAGUGCCCUUGAUACUGAUGGGCUUGAAUGGACUAGAGGUAGGCGGAAUGAGACAAGUAGCGGUGAAAUGCAUAGAUAUGUCUCAGAACACCGAUUGCGAAGGCAGCUUACUAUGGUCUUAUUGACGCUGAGGCACGAAAGCGUGAGGAUCAAACAGG
rnacentral:rRNA from 1 species